rnacentral:rRNA from 1 species
AGUUUCCAUUUAUGGAUUCUUAGUGGCGAACGGGUGAGUAACGCGUAGACAACCUACCACUUAGAUGGGGACAACACUGCGAAAGUGGUGCUAAUACCGAAUGUUGUAUUUUGAUUGCAUAAUUGAAAUACUAAAGAUGGCCUCUAUUUAUAAGCUAUCGCUGAGUGAUGGGUCUGCGUCUGAUUAGCUAGUUGGUGAGGUAAUGGCUCACCAAGGCAACGAUCAGUAGCCGGUCUGAGAGGAUGAACGGCCACAUUGGGACUGAGACACGGCCCAAACUCCUACGGGAGGCAGCAGUGGGGAAUCUUCCGCAAUGGACGAAAGUCUGACGGAGCAACGCCGCGUGAGUGAAGAAGGUUUUCGAAUCGUAAAACUCUGUUUUCAGGGACGAAUGUGCAGUGUGUAAAUAAUGCAUUGUAAUGACGGUACCUGAGUAGAAAGCCACGGCUAACUACGUGCCAGCAGCCGCGGUAAUACGUAGGUGGCAAGCGUUGUCCGGAAUUAUUGGGCGUAAAGCGCGCGCAGGUGGGAUAAUAAGUCUGGUGUUAAAGUUCGGGGCUCAACCCCGUGAAGCAUUUGGAAACUGUUAUUCUUGAGUGCAGGAGAGGAAAGUGGAAUUCCUAGUGUAGCGGUGAAAUGCGUAGAUAUUA